UGGGGAAUUUUGGACAAUGGGGGCAACCCUGAUCCAGCGAUGCCGCGUGAGUGAUGAAGGCCUUCGGGUUGUAAAGCUCUUUUAUCCGGGAAGAUAAUGACGGUACCGGAAGAAUAAGCACCGGCUAACUACGUGCCAGCAGCCGCGGUAAUACGUAGGGUACAAGCGUUAAUCGGAAUUACUGGGCGUAAAGCGUGCGCAGGCGGUUGUGUAAGUCAGAUGUGAAAUCCCCGGGCUCAACCUGGGAAUUGCAUUUGAGACUGCACGGCUAGAGUGUGUCAGAGGGGGGUAGAAUUCCACGUGUAGCAGUGAAAUGCGUAGAUAUGUGGAGGAAUACCGAUGGCGAAGGCAGCCCCCUGGGAUAACACUGACGCUCAUGCACGAAAGCGUGGGGAGCAAACAGGAUUAGAUACCCCUGUAGUCCCUGAGCGGGCUGGCAAGGCGCAU
rnacentral:rRNA from 1 species